rnacentral:rRNA from 2 species
GAUGAACGCUGGCGGCGCGCCUAACACAUGCAAGUCGAACGGUUAAAGCACCUUUUAGGUGUGUAUAAAGUGGCGAACGGCUGAGUAACACGUGGGCAACCUGCCCUCCUCUUGGGGAUAGCCCCGGGAAACCGAGGAUAAUACCCGAUACUUCAAUGUGGCCGCAUGACGACAUUGAGAAAGCUUUUGCGGAGAAGGAUGGGCCCGCGGCCUGUUAGCUUGUUGGUGGGGUAGAGGCCUACCAAGGCAAUGAUGGGUAGCUGGGUUGAGAGACCGACCAGCCAGAUUGGGACUGAGACACGGCCCAGACUCUUACGGGAGGCAGCAGUGGGGAAUACUAUGCACAAUGGGCGAAAGCCGUGAUGCAGCGACGCCGCGUGCGGGACGAAGGCCUUCGGGUUGUAAACCGCUUUCAGCAGGGACGAGGCGAAAGUGACGGUACCUGCAGAAGAAGCCCCGGCUAACUACGUGCCAGCAGCCGCGGUAAUACGUAGGGGGCAAGCGUUAUCCGGAUUCAUUGGGCGUAAAGCGCUCGUAGGCGGUCUGUUAGGUCGGGAGUUAAAUCCGGAGGCUCAACCUCCGCCCGCUCCCGAUACCGGCAGACUUGAGUUUGGUAGGGGAAGGUGGAAUUCCUAGUGUAGCGGUGGAAUGCGCAGAUAUUAGGAAGAACACCAGUGGCGAAGGCGGCCUUCUGGGCCAUAACUGACGCUGAGGAGCGAAAGCUAGGGGAGCAAACAGGAUUAGAUACCCUGGUAGUCCUAGCUGUAAACGAUGGACACUAGGUGUGGGAGAAUACGUCUUCCGUGCCGCAGCUAACGCAUUAAGUGUCCCGCCUGGGGAGUACGGCCGCAAGGCUAAAACUCAAAGGAAUUGACGGGGACCCGCACAAGCAGCGGAGCAUGUGGUUUAAUUCGAAGCAACGCGGAAGAACCUUACCAGGGCUUGACAUGUAGGUGAAGCGGCGGAAACGUCGUG